AUUGAACGCUGGCGGCAGGCCUAACACAUGCAAGUCGAACGAGUGGCGGACGGGUGAGCAAUGUCUGGGAAACUGCCCGAUGGAGGGGGAUAACUACUGGAAACGGUAGCUAAUACCGCAUACCAUCGGAUGUGCCCAGAUGGGAUUAGCUAGUAGGUGGGGUAACGGCUCACCUAGGCGACGAUCCCUAGCUGGUCUGAGAGGAUGACCAGCCACACUGGAACUGAGACACGGUCCAGACUCCUACGGGAGGCAGCAGUGGGGAAUAUUGCACAAUGGGCGCAAGCCUGAUCCAGCCAUGCCGCGUGUGUGAAGAAGGCCUUCGGGUGGUAAAGUACUUUCAGCGGGGAGGCGUUACUCACAGAAUAAGCACCGGCUAACUACGUGCCAGCAGCCGCGGUAAUAC
rnacentral:rRNA from 1 species